rnacentral:rRNA from 1 species
UACACACCGCCCGUCACACCAUGGGAGUGGGUUCCGCCAGAAGCCGUUAGCCUAACCGCAAGGAGGGCGACGACCACGGUGAGAUUCAUGACUGGGGUG